UUCCUGUUUGACAGUCUGACCUUUGACCUGACCCGGUCUGGAUGGAGGAAGCACAUGGAGCAAGCCUUUGAUUUGAUCCAGUAGUCAGAAUGAAAACUUGCUCUUCAGGGCUUUAAGUGGAGCAGCAGCCAGCAGAACCAGCUGUGCAGCGUUCCAGUCCUCGGGUCAGAAGCAGCCUCUCCAUGGGUUGGUGGUGAUAAAGCCCAGCGCUGCAGCAGGAGGCCACGGACGAUGAGAGCGGCUCUGAGCUGCAGCUCCUUCAGUCGUGUGACGUUCUGUUUGUGUUGCUGCAGCUUUCUGAAUGGACCGUGUUUGUUCUGCUUCUUCUUCUUCAUGUGUAUUUAUGGAGCCACGCCUCAGUGACAUAUAUUUAUGUACACUGGAGAAAACUCUGAUAAAAUAAUGGAACACUAACUGCAUGACUUUUAGUUUCAUUAUUAUUAUUAUAACUACUACUAUUAUUAUUAUUUUAGCUAGAGAUAAACACUUUUAAAAGUUUUCUGGCUUCCAGGACUUUAUUUUAUAUUUGCAUUAAGUUGAUAUAAAUGUAUUAAAAACUGGACCUGUUGUAUAUUUCAGAGCAGGGUUUCCAGAGUGGGAUGUGAGAUGAUUUCCUGCUGAUGUGCUAAAAAGAUUAAAUAUUUCCCUAUUU